UCAAUUAAUCAUUUUUGUGGUUUUUUCCCUUACAUCAGGUUUCCUUAGGAAAUAAAGAAAGAAGCAAAGGAGUGUUCUACAAAGCUCUCCAGAAUUGUCCUUGGGCAAAGGUGUUGUACAUGGACGCUGUGGAGUACUUCCCUGAUGAGAUGCAGGAGGUCGUGGAUCUGAUGACCGAGAAGGAGCUCCGGGUGCGCCUGCCGCUGGAGGAGCUGGAGCUGCUGCUUGAGGACUAGAGCCCGGGAGGGAGGGGUUCGCAGCCAAAGCGCCUGCCCUGUCAUAGCCGGGAGGGGUCCAAGCGAAGGCGUGUAUUGAGAGACCUGCUUCUGAACUGUUCCUUCUUGGUAAUUUGUGUCUGGGUUGUCAGUCUCUCACAUCAGACACAUUUUUUGGAUGUGUAAAUGACACAAAAGCUAUUGAUUUACAUAUUAUAUAUGUGAAUAUGUGUACGUGUGUAUGAAGAAUCAUGCCGAAUGGUAAUUAAACCGCGUAUGGUUACGGUG